AUAUUAACAGCCAGUGCAUGAUUAAAAUACGUUUGUUCAUCCAAAUGGAAAAAUUAUGAGUCUCCUUUUUUCUUUUUUUUUUUUGUUCUUCGCGGAGGUUUAGUCGAGGGUUAUUUUUCGAACAGAUUAUUGGCAUCAUCUUAACAUAGUUCAAUAAGGACCGUCGAAUAAGAAAAAAAAAAAGAAACGAGGUCGACCAAAUUAGUUUCUAAGCUAUGAGCAAAGUUAGGAUUUAGAUAGUCAAAUUUGAAUUACGUCAAUGAAAGAUGAAAUUUGAU
rnacentral:misc_RNA from 1 species